rnacentral:snoRNA from 1 species
GAACAAUUAAUAAAGCCAGUUAUUAAGAUUCAAAUGUACUCCCGAGGGGGGCCUGGUAUGCAAUGGUUGCAAACAGUAGCUUUCUUGGUAGUGUAUGUAGCCUGUUGCCUAUAUAGGUUGCCCUAAGGAACCUUGAAGACAAUU